rnacentral:tRNA from 1 species
GUGUGGCUCAGUGAUAGAGCAUGUGCUUAGCAUGUACAAGGCUCUGGGUUCAAUUCUCAGCAC